GUAGUCUCGCACAGAUGCAUAUCAAUAAGCGGAGGAAAAGAAACUAACAAGGAUUCCCCUAGUAACGGCGAGUGAAGCGGGAAGAGCUCAAAUUUGAAAUCUUAAAGGGUUUCCCUUUACGAAUUGUAGUUUAAAGAAGUGUUUUCUGUUGAGGUUUUGGUAAAAGUUCUUUGGAAUAGGACAUCAUAGAGGGUGAGAAUCCCGUAUUUGACCUUUACUUUCAACUUUGUGAUACACUUUCAAAGAGUCGGAUUGUUUGGGAAUGCAGUCCAAAAUGGGUGGUAAAUUUCAUCUAAAGCUAAAUAUUGGCGAGAGACCGAUAGCGAACAAGUACCGUGAGGGAAAGAUGAAAAGAACUUUGAAAAGAGAGUUAAACAGUACGUGAAAUUGUCAAAAGGGAAGCGUUUGACACCAGUGUUGUUUUUCUGAAAAUCAAUUAAAGAACUGUUUAUGCUAAGCUGUUUAGACUUUAUCAGCUAACUGUUUAGUUUUGAGCUUUUCUUUAAUGCACUUUUCAGUUAACAAGUCAACAUCAAUUUCUUUUGCUGUAAAAAAGCUUGAGGAAGGUGGCUUGAGAUUCGUCUUAAGUGUUUAUAGCCUCUUGCCUAUGCAGUCGGAGAGAUUGAGGUCUGCAGCGUAGAUCCUUCGGGGCUAAAUGCAUUUGUGCUAAGUUAUAGCAUUUUAUAGACAACUUGUUGACUAUGAUUUGUCUUGUAGCUUACUCGCUUAUGUUAUUUUACCUACGCUUAGGAUGUUGAUCUGUAGUGCGUGCGC
rnacentral:rRNA from 1 species